UACGGAGGGUGCGAGCGUUGUCCGGAAUCACUGGGCGUAAAGGGCGCGUAGGCGGCGCGGGUAGUCAACGGUGAAAGCUUGGGGCUCAACCCCGAGUCGGCCGUCGAUACUCCCGUGCUUGAGCACUGUAGAGGCAGGUGGAAUUCCGGGUGUAGCGGUGGAAUGCGUAGAGAUCCGGAAGAACACCGGUGGCGAAGGCGGCCGACUCGGCGA
rnacentral:rRNA from 1 species